AAGUUCACUUCAGGGGGAGUUAAGGUCCCUGCCCCUCUGGGCACCCCCUGGGAAGGCCAGUGAAGUUGGACCAGGUGCAGAAGCUUCCAGGGAUCAUGAGGUCAAACAAAGCCUGCCCUCCCUGGGCUGAGGGUCAACAUCCACAUAGCCUGACCACCGUGGGACCCGGCCAGCCACAUGAUUGUCGGCAGCCUUGAUCUUCCCCAGCACUGACUGAGGUUGUUGCCAGAAACACCAGGAGCAAACAUGUCACAGAGCAGGGGUCUCACUCCGUUGCCCAGGAGCACCAUGGGAUCAUCACAGCUCACUGCAGCCUCAAACUCCUGGUCUCAGCCUCCGGAGUAGCUGGAACUAUAGGUACCCAUGACCAUGCCCAAAUCAUUUUUUUGUGUAUUUUGUAGAGAUGGGGUCUCUCUAUGUUGCCCAGCCUGAUCUGGAACUCCUGACCUCAAGCGACCUUCCCACUUGGGCCUCCCUGGUUGCUCGGACCACAGGCAUGUGCCUCUGUGCCUGGCCUCAUCUAUACUUCUAACUGUUCCUUUGACUAAUUUUGCUGAUACUGAAUCACCCUUUCGUGCCUGGAAUGAACCCAACCUGGCUACGGUGUAUUUUUAUGUGGAUACACUGGUUGAUUCCAUUGAUUAAUAUUUAGAAAUUUUUUUUUU